rnacentral:rRNA from 1 species
UGCCAGACUCCUACGGGAGGCAGCAGUGGGGAAUAUUGCACAAUGGGGGAAACCCUGAUGCAGCGACGCCGCGUGAGCGAUGAAGUAUUUCGGUAUGUAAAGCUCUAUCAGCAGGGAAGAAGAUGACGGUACCUGACUAAGAAGCCCCGGCUAACUACGUGCCAGCAGCCGCGGUAAUACGUAGGGGGCAAGCGUUAUCCGGAUUUACUGGGUGUAAAGGGAGCGUAGACGGCGAUGCAAGCCAGAUGUGAAAGCCCGGGGCUCAACCCCGGGACUGCAUUUGGAACUGUGUGGCUGGAGUGUCGGAGAGGCAGGCGGAAUUCCUAGUGUAGCGGUGAAAUGCGUAGAUAUUAGGAGGAACACCAGUGGCGAAGGCGGCCUGCUGGACGAUGACUGACGUUGAGGCUCGAAAGCGUGGGGAGCAAACAGGAUUAGAUACCCCCGUACG